rnacentral:rRNA from 1 species
GACUAACGCUGACGGUGUGCCUAAUACAUGCAAGUCGAACGGGCAGUGUAUCGGUGGCAACACUUUUAUACUGCUAGUGGCGAACGGGUGAGUAACACGUGGGUAAUCUGCCUUAAAGACUGGGAUAACUCCUCGAAAGAGGUGCUAAUACCGGAUAGUCUAUAUUAAUCUCAUGAUUUUUAUAGUAAAGGUAGCCGCAAGGCCUCUGCUUUAAGAUGAGCUCGCGUCCUAUUAGCUAGUUGGUGGGGUAAUGGCCUACCAAGGCAAUGAUGGGUAACCGGUCUGAGAGGAUGGUCGGUCACACUGGAACUGAGAUACGGCCCAGACUCCUACGGGAGGCAGCAGUAGGGAAUAUUGCGCAAUGGGCGAAAGCCUGACGCAGCGACACCGUGUGAAGGAUGAAGGUCUUCGGAUCGUAAACUUCUGUCAAUUGGGGACGAAGGUAGUAAGGUUAAUAGCCUUUACUACUGACGGUACCUAAAAAGGAAGUCUCGGCUAACUCCGUGCCAGCAGCCGCGGUAAGACGGGGGAGGCAAGCGUUGUCCGGAAUUAUUGGGCGUAAAGAGCUCGUAGGUGGUACAUUAAGUCAUUUGUGAAAACUUUAGGCUUAACUUAAAGAAUGCAAGUGAUACUGGUAUACUUGAGCACAGUAGAGGAAAAUGGAAUUCCUGGUGUAGCGGUGAAAUGCGCAGAUAUCAGGAAGAACACCAGUGGCGAAGGCGGUUUUCUGGGCUGUUGCUGACACUGAGGAGCGAAAGCUAGGGGAGCGAACAGGAUUAGAUACCCUGGUAGUCCUAGCUGUAAACUAUGGACACUAGGUGUGGGGAGU